GUUGUCGUGGCCGAGUGGUUAAGGCGACAGACUUGAAAUCUUUUCAAUUUGGGAUCUUCCUGUUCAGGUUCGAAUCCUGCCGAUAACA
rnacentral:tRNA from 1 species